CCUUGUACACACCGCCCGUCACACCAUGGGAGUUGGUCUUACCCGACGGCGCUGCGCCAACCGCAAGGAGGCAGGCGACCACGGUAGGGUCGGCGACUGGGGUG
rnacentral:rRNA from 1 species